rnacentral:rRNA from 1 species
GGCUAUGGCCAUGACACCCUGAACUGACCCAAUCUCAGCUGAUCUCAGAAGCUAAGCAGGGUCGGGCCUAGCCAGAGAAGAAGAGGUUGUCACAAGAUUUCCUGCCACAGCCC